rnacentral:rRNA from 1 species
ACUGCGAGUGAAGAGGGAAGAGCUCAUCAUUGGAAUCUGGCAGCGUUGCGCUGUCCGAGUUGUAGAUGAGAAGAGUAGGCCAUCUGGACUGCGUGGUGUCCAAGUACAAUAGGCCGUCAGUGGGACAUCAUAGAGGGUGACAAUCCCGUCCUUGACACCAACGUACGAGUCCAUUACGAUGCCUAUCUCAGAGAGUCGAGCAGUUUGGGAUUUGCUGCUUAAACAUGGGAGGUAGAUUCCUUCUAAAGCUAAAUACAGGCAAGAGACCGAUAGAGAACAAGUACCGCAAGGGAAAGAUGAAAUAGAACUCUGUGAAGGGAGUCAAAAAGACGUGAAAUUGUUGCGAGAGAAGCGAUUCAAGUCAGCGUAGCUAGGCCCAUCAAGCCUUGCUUUGGACUAGCUUUGCCAGYGGUCUUGUCCUUUAGAGAGACUUGACUUUUGACAUGCCCUGCCCGGUCUAACGGGCAGACCUCCCUCUGGGAGGCCAGUGGCAUGGCUGGUGGAAUGGCUUGCAAUCGACCCGUCUUGAAACACGGACCAAGGAGUCUAACAUGUGUGCGAGUAUAAGGGUGGCAAACCCGUAUGCGCAAAGAAAGUGAUAGCCUUUAUGGCUGAGAAUGGCCUGAUGACCAGACAAGCAAUAUUAUGUUCCUCGUACGGUCAUUGCCCAAGUCCCGUGGUCAGAUCCCAUGGACAUGGAGUUAGAGCAUACAUGCUAGGACCCGAAAGAUGGUGAACUAUGCCUGGACAAAGCGAAGCCAAAGGAAACUCUGGUGGAGGCUUGUAGCGAUUCUGACGUGCAAAUCGAUCGUCUGAUC